CCAAAAGAUGUGCACCACUUUACCUGGCUCCUUUUUAAAACAUUUUUGUAAGGAGUGCUUAUGCUUGCUGUUUUCAUUUCAUUGCCUUUCAGCAACUUUAGCAAUUCUUUUUUAUUUUUUGAGACAGACUCAUCAUACUGCCCAGGCUGGGUUUGAACUUGGGAUUUUCCUGCCUCAGCCUCCUGAUGAGUAGCUGGGAUUACCAGCAUGGUAUUAUGUGUGUCGACCAAAGCAAUUUGAAGUUACCUAAAUAUGUUUUUGUUUCUGUGUGAGCGAGCCUGCCACUGCCUUCCUGCUGAUGCUCCACUCACUGCUCCUACAAGAAACAGCUGUUUGCAACCCAAUAUGUGGAAACACAGGCUCGUCAUAGACAAGAUGUAUGCUACAAAGGAUGACUCGGGUGAUGCAGACUUUGAGCUAAAAUCUGAAAGAAGCAACACUGCAACUGAAGUCAUAAAAAAUUAAGACAAUAACCAUCGGUAUCAUUAAGAUACUAUAAGAGCACUCUGGAGGCUGAGG
rnacentral:lncRNA from 1 species